rnacentral:tRNA from 1 species
UGAAUUUAUGAUUUGCCAAAAAAAAUGCUUCUAAAGUUUGAAAUUUUGUUUCAAAAUUUUCCAAAUUUAAAUUUAU